AGAAAAAAAGAGAGAAUGGCCGUUCGACGUAAAAAAAAAAAAAAAAAAAAGAGAGAGAGAGAGAGGGGCAAACCCGUGUGCGAUCAGCUAAGAUUAGCGGAAGCUAAGAGAGAAGUAAGCUAAGAGAAUGGAAGUAAGGAAUCUUUCUCGUGAUGUUUGAAGAAGCAUCAAUUGGCAAAUGCAUGACUGGAGGAGGCAUUGGUUCACCUGGUGGGUGAUGAAGCCUCGUCAGUGGUGAUGACAUUGACCCUGGUGCUCUAAUCUGUGAAAACAACGCCUGAAACACACAAAACAGCUUUAACAAACCCUUUGUUUCUUAAAUAUGUAACUGAAGAGAGCUUAAUAAGAACCCUAUACGUGUGUGCUUGACUAUCUUCUUUGCGCUGCGCAAAAGCUAUGUAAGUGGUUUCUUUCCUAUCAUCUUUCCAUAUCAUUUCACUCAGCUGCAUUGUUAUAAAUAUUAGUUAGAAGGAUAAAAAUCUUUAACAAUACACGGCUCUCGAAGCUUCUUCAGGAUUGUAAUAAGCAACAAAACCAAACUCUAUGCUGAUUCCUUGUAUAUUAACCAUAACCUAUACGUAUGAUUAUGGUUGAAGACAAACGUAACAUCAACAACAAGACAUAUAUGUAUGCAUGGACUUUUAGUUAUUACCUUGGGAGAGGUUACAUUUCCAAACUCAGAGAACAUCUCCUUGAGUUUCUCAUCAUCAACGCAAUAUAUCAUCAAGACUCUUCAAGUACAGAUUCGCUCCUUGAAAUUUCUCAAACCGGUUUACCCUCUCGUGCUCAAACUUCCUUCUCAGCUCUUGCUCUCUCUCUCUCUCAGACUUCUUCUGUUCCCUCCCAAGGGCGGAGCUAGAAAUUACUUUUAUCCGGGGCAAAACUAUUAAGCACUACUAAACAUCUUUAUAAAAUUGAAUAUUUAGCAUUCAUAAAAGUCUUGACAAAUUUACAUUAGCUUAAAAAGUUUAUGGUGGGCAAGUGCCCAACCCAAACUCUAUGUACUACACAUCAUCUCCUAACCUAACCCAUUCAUCUUAUUUAUGUCAAUGGCUAUGAUUGACAGGAAAUUUUUUAAAAAGUUAUAGAAACAUUUGAGCAGAACUGAAUAAUUACAAGUCGCUUUUAUCUUCACGGUUCAAAUCCCAUUGAUUCAGUUAGUUUAAUUCAUGUAGUAUCGAGUAAUAUCACCAAAUUAUUCAAGCAUGAAUGUGUUAUUCCUCAUUGUCAGCUUAAAUUAUGCUUUGUCAUUUUAAUUUUGAAUUUUUUACUCUCUAACACACUUUUUGUCUUUCAAUUAACACAAAAGGACACUUGUUGUUGGAAGCACACUUCUUAAUUGUGUAAUGUCCUACGUGCCCUCAAACUAACUAAACUCUCUCCUCACUAACUAAGCUGUCACUUUCCAUAUUUUUAAAAAUAAUUCGACAAAUCAGUUUCUUUAUUUUUGAGUUUUUGGAAACCAUCAUUUAUUCUCUCUCUGGCUUUACUUUUUGAAAUCAGAUCUAAUUUUCCCAAUUUCCCAGCCCCUUCGUUUACUAACCAUAAUUCUGCUAAAUCUUUUCUUCUUUGUCUUCAAUUUCUCUGUAAAACACCAUGAAUCCAGAAGGCUCACAGCGGUUGUGACUGUAUAAUCUCGUAUCUAUCUCUUCAUAUCUCAUCACCUUUCUCCUUCAUUCUCCGUCGCCCGAUUUCAAUACCUUUCUCCUUGAAACCCCUAACCUUUUUUAUAUUUUUUUCUUUUUUAAUUGUUUGUGUUGUACUUUUUCAAUUGAAUCGAAUCUCUGAGAUUUUGUGGACAUGAGAGCUGACGAGCAGAUUCGAGAGCUCCGGUAUGGACAGGACAACGCGACGGCAACCAGGUCCGACUUCCGUUGUGGAGAGGACGACUGGACGGCCAACAGAUUCGAGAUCCGGUAUGGAGAGGAUGCGACGACGAGCAGGUCCCACCUCCGUUGUGGAAAAGAUGAUGACAAGCUCUCGUGCCUAUUAUGUUUUGUGAUUAUGUUUUCUGAUGUACUUAUCUAUUAGAGAUUUUACGGAUGAUGUAAGCUCUUGCUUGUUGAUUAUAAACCCUUCCUCAUGAUUAAUAAAAUUGGCCUCAUCUGUUUAUUGAA